UAUAUUUGAGGUCACUACCCUGUGGGGCGGAUUUGCAGAAAUCGUAUCGGACUGCUCCACAACUCAAGAUUCUAAGAACACCUCCACCAACCCAAUAAUGAUCUAAUUUAUAGCUUAUGCGUUGGAAUUCACAAAGCUUAAUAAAUGCUUUCAGCAAGUACGGAAGGUGGUUGCCGGAAUUCACAGAUGGAAGCUAAAGUAAAUGCCUUCAGACGUCUUAAUUCACAGAGAGUGUGUGGGAUGGUUUUGGCGAAAUAAAUUUGAAAGGGGUGGGCAGGUCAUACGGGCCGGUGCAAAUGACAGGUUUACCGGUUACAUAAACGGAUCUUGAGUGGGGUUUAAGGUUAGCCAACAGGAACAAGACACGUGAUUAAUAACUACAGCAUUUUUUAAAUUUAUUUUGGGCUGUUAAUUUUAGGGGUAUGAAUGAGCCAAAAAAUUAACGGUAGGGGCAAAUUUGGCUCAAUAGGUGAACGAACGGAGGGUAUUUUUGUACCAAUACUCAUAGUUCAGGGGCAAUUUUGGCCUUUUCCAUUUAAGCUAUGUAAAAAAGUCUAAAAAUUAGACAAUCUAAUUGUAUGGACUUUGAACCAAAUA